rnacentral:rRNA from 1 species
AUACGGAAGGUCCGGGCGUUAUCCGGAUUUAUUGGGUUUAAAGGGAGCGCAGGCGGAGAUGCAAGCGUGACGUCAAAUUUCGGGGCUCAACCCCGUCUCGCGUCGCGAACUGCGUCCCUUGGUUGCGGGAAGGGGAGGCGGAACUCGUGGUGUAGCGGUGGAAAGGAAAGAUAUCACGAAGAACUCCGAUCGCGAAGGCAGCCUUCCGGCCCGACAACGGCGCGCAUGCUCGAAGGGGAGGGUAUCCGACAGGAUUAGAAACCCUGGUAGGCCGCACAGUAAACGAUGGACACCCGGGGUUUGGGCUAUAUGGCUGAGCCGCCAAGCGAAAGCGUUAAGUGACCCACCUGGGGAGUACGCCGGCAACGGUGAAACUCAAAGGAAUUGACGGGG